AGAGCGAACGCUGGCGGCAGGCUUAACACAUGCAAGUCGAGCGGGCGUAGCAAUACGUCAGCGGCAGACGGGUGAGUAACGCGUGGGAACGUACCUUUGGUUCGGAACAACACAGGGAAACUUGUGCUAAUACCGGAUAAGCCCUUACGGGGAAAGAUUUAUCGCCAAAAGAUCGGCCCGCGUCUGAUUAGCUAGUUGGUGAGGUAACGGCUCACCAAGGCGACGAUCAGUAGCUGGUCUGAGAGGAUGAUCAGCCACAUUGGGACUGAGACACGGCCCAAACUCCUACGGGAGGCAGCAGUGGGGAAUAUUGGACAAUGGGCGCAAGCCUGAUCCAGCCAUGCCGCGUGAGUGAUGAAGGCCCUAGGGUUGUAAAGCUCUUUUGUGCGGGAAGAUAAUGACGGUACCGCAAGAAUAAGCCCCGGCUAACUUCGCGCCAGCAGCCGC
rnacentral:rRNA from 1 species